ensembl:lncRNA
GUGAGUACCUGCGUCUACAUCAGCAGCAACGAUGCCAGCACCCAUAGCCUGCUCUCGGUUUCAAAAAUGAGCCCUCUACAUGCAUGUGACUUCUUAUUGCUUAAUAGGGCACUUUUUAAAUAGCAGAAGUCUUCACUGAGCUUUUGGGAUUAUCAAAGUACAAACAAUAGAAAACGGUGAGGGGGAGGGGCGGGCUUUAUUCAGCUGGCGUCUUCUCAGGCAGGCUCGGCUGCCUGGCUGUGGGGAGUCCAUGCAGGACUGGAUCAAGUAUCAAGCAAAAGAGACAAACAGUGCUGGCUUCAGUUCCUGUCGCAGAAAAGGCUCGAGCAGAGCUGCACCCUCUGCCUUAUGAAGGGCCACACGGACCCUCCACUCUACAACAAACUUGAUGUAUAUUCUGGCCUUUAAUCUUCACAAUCCCUCAGGAGUCUUCCCAGCUGAGACCCUGAUCAUCGAGAAGCAGAGGAGAGCCUGCCCCCACACCCCACCAUGCCCUUUCUGAAUUCCUGACCCAUGAAUUCCUGAGCACAAUAAGGAAGUAUAUUGUGCCGUGACGCAGCCUGACACAGAAAAAGAUGCUUAAAUAUAAGUAGAAGCCCAACAUUUUAAGAGGACAUCCCAGCUCUAGACACCAAGACCAAACCUGCAGAGACUCACCUAGAAAGCACCUGCCUUUCGAGGGACCUCGCCCUCCGCUGGCUGCGCAGGGAGUGACUGUCCCUGAUUUGAACUGCUCCCGUAUCCACCCCAGGCCUCUGCAGGAGACUGUUCUGGAGCCUGCCUGACUUCGUCCUCUCAGAGAACACUCACCCAACAGCAAGGUACAGCUCAGUUUCCUUUUCCACAGGACCUUUGAACGGAGGGAUAGGGAACCUGGGCUCAGUCCCUGAUACUUGAGGGAGCUGGGAACUCCUUGUCAUUUGGGCUGCGAGCUGUCACGAGGAAGGAGAGCGCUGCUCUGCAGAGUGAAGCCAGAGGGAUCCUCCUGGACUGUGGACAAAGACCAUAAGCGGAGCAGAAAGAAAAGACUAAACAGCCCUGAGGACGGCCUGGGAGCUAGAGACACUGCUGCUCUUAGCUCUCCAAAGGUGUCCACUCGCGGUCCCUGCCGUGGGAAAGCCUCCACCCAGCCUUCAUCAGACCCUGUGUCACCUUAUCAGAUCUCAGGAGUGUUUAAUGUAUGUCGGGAAGGUGUUCAUGAAGUAAAAUGACCAGAGGAAGUUCUGGAAUCCCUGAGAAGAAUUUUACAGCGUUAGCUUUUUCACUUGUUCUUUAGCUUUUUCUUCCAUGCCAUAUUUUCUCAACUUUGGGUUGAAAUGUAAUAAGUUGUGUUACACAUGUAAAUUUUUGACGUGUUGUUCACACCAGUAUUGAACAGACAGUUGUUUCGCAUGUACAGUGAACCGUACUUUUCAUAAGAACACAAUUGUGGGAGAGGGACCACCUUCAACCUAGAGUCCCCUAAAGCCAAGUUCCCAGGGGAUUGCCUCACCCCAUAAGCUCUUCUGUUCAUCUUAUUUAUGUUCAUUGACAUUAUGUAAUAUUCCAUUAUACUUGUUGGUAUAAAGAUGAUAAUCCAUGGUUCCAGCCUCUGAGGGGCUCAUGGGGACAGACAUGGCCUGCAAUGGGCCAACUUAGUAGAGGUACAAGUGUCAAUGGAGCACAGAACAGGGAGGAAGUACAUCUGUCCCCACAGAAUGUCAGCCGGGCAUUGAAGGGUGAGCAGGAGUUGGCAGGAAAACUAAAAUAACAGAGUUAGUCAAGGCUGGAGAAAGAGGUGCAGGACCCUUGGGUCAGAGACGGCCCUGAAGGCCAUGGAACUAGAUGAGUCACCUGGGCAGACUAUGUGGACAGAGAAGAGCAGCAGGCCCAGGAUGAUCUCUGGGCCACUGCAAUAGUCACAGGCCACACAGGAGAAGAAGGGCCACCCAAAGACGCUGGAAGGAGAGGCACAACACUAUGGAGGCCAUGGGAGAAAUCUUUCCAGGAAGGAGGGUGCACUCCCCGAAGCUGCUGAGGGUCAGGUAAGGUAAGAACUGAGAUGGGGCCAUGCGGAUGUGGCAGCAUGGAGGUCAUUGGUGAAGAGGGAAAGGCCGUUCUGCAAUAUGUUUAGGAGAAAUGUAAGAUUAGGAGGUAGACACAACACGCAUAGACACUUCUUUCCAGAAGAGUUGCCAAAAAGAAGAGGAGGGUGUAGAGGGAAGUGUGGGGAUGAAAAAGGAAUUGUUUAAGAGUUGUGAAUGAUCUAGUAGAGAGGGAGACAUUGAUGCUUCAUGUAAAAGAGAGAAAAAUAGGAGAAGGCGAAUCCUAGAGAAUCUGAGAGUGGAUGGGGUGAGCAAACAGGUAGAGGGAUGGCGCUUUGAAAAGGUUAGAAGCACGCCAUAUACAGCAACAGAAGGGCAAGAGAGUGAGCCAAGGAGCAGGCAAGGUGGUGGAGUUACAGGGCAAGCAAACUCUCUGCUUCUAUUUCCCCACAGAAGUAUGAGGCAGGGUCAACAGGCGAGAGUGGGAGGUCAGGGAGACGAGAUUUAUGAAGCUGGAGGAGAGUGGAAAAUAUGGGGAGAACAUUUCUGGCAAGGUGCUGGUGGCUUGGUGUGUGAUUAUUCAUUUAAAGUGAGAUCAAUCUUCAUGGCAGUGUUUUUCCACAUUUCCAAAUAGCCACCCAGAUGUGAUGCCACCAAAGCAACUUAUUCCUGCAAGUACAAAGAAGGGAGGGGCGAGUGAACCCGAGGCACUUGCAAUGACAGAGCUGGAAUCCUGGACUGUGGAGUCCAAGGUUGAUCAGAGAAAUGAGAGUAUUCAUUCAAAUCAUUCCACAGAAAUUUAUUAAGCAUCUCCCAUGAGCUAGGGAUUCUUCUAGGUUCUGGCAUACAGUGAUGAAUUCUAUGCCCUCACAGAGUUUCUAAUGAGGGUAAAAUAAUUAAAUAAAUAGUACAGUGUCAGCAGGUAAGAAACACAAGAAGAAAAAUAAGCCAGGGUAGGGAGUUAGGGGAGCCAGGGUGGAUUCCCGUUUAUAUAGGAUGUCAGGGAAGACCUCUCGGAUACAGUGAUGUUGGAUCAGUGGACUGAAAGAAAUGAGGGAAUGUGGAUGUGAAUGUCAGUUGAGGGGCAGUUAGCAAUUAGUGGAGGGGGUAGGGAGGGAAGAGGAGAAAGUGAGCAAUGGUUAAAAAGUGGUAGUGGCAAUAGAUGGGAUGUCUUGAUGAGAUUCAAAUAUUGCACAAAACAGGGUGAGUUCUAAGGAUAAAGAGUGGCAGCCCCACAUUGGCAUCUCAAAGAAUUCAGAGUUCUUGGAAGUGAUGAUGUCAAGCUAUUGACUAUGGGAAUGGGUGGUCAAGACAAAAUAAAAUAAAUAAAUAUUAACUAUUUAAAUUAAUAAAUAGUUUUUUCAAUUUAUAAAAAAU